rnacentral:misc_RNA from 1 species
GUAACCAAAGUUAAAAAUCUCAGAAACAUGCAGGGACAUAUCCUUUUAUAAUUGAUUGAUUGUCCUAAAUGGAGACCAAUUACUUCUAAAUGGACUUGGAACAGUCUUCACACAUCGUAUCUAAAAUGGCACUGUCUUUUCUCAUCUAUCUUGAUGGUUUAUCGAACAAACUAAAACAACAGAUAAUGCAUGCAUGCUCCAAGAUACGUACUGGUGUUAUCAAAGGCAAAAGGCAUAAAAAGGAGC